AUUGAACGCUGGCGGCAGGCCUAACACAUGCAAGUCGAACGGUAACAGGAAGCAGCUUGCUGCUUUGCUGACGAGUGGCGGACGGGUGAGUAAUGUCUGGGAAACUGCCUGAUGGAGGGGGAUAACUACUGGAAACGGUAGCUAAUACCGCAUAACGUCGCAAGACCAAAGAGGGGGACCUUCGGGCCUCUUGCCAUCGGAUGUGCCCAGAUGGGAUUAGCUAGUAGGUGGGGUAAAGGCUCACCUAGGCGACGAUCCCUAGCUGGUCUGAGAGGAUGACCAGCCACACUGGAACUGAGACACGGUCCAGACUCCUACGGGAGGCAGCAGUGGGGAAUAUUGAACAGUGGGCGCAAGCCUGAUGCAGCCAUGCCGCGUGUAUGAAGAAGGCCUUCGGGUUGUAAAGUACUUUCAGCGGGGAGGAAGGGAGUAAAGUUAAUACCUUUGCUCAUUGACGUUACCCGCAGAAGAAGCACCGGCUAACUCCGU
rnacentral:rRNA from 1 species